CUACGGGAUGCUCCAGUGGGGAAUUUUGCGCAAUGGGGGAAACCCUGACGCAGCAAUACCGCGUGAGUGAAGAAGGCCUUUGGGCCGUAAAGCUCUUUUCUUGGGGAAGAUAGUGACGGUACCCAAGGAAUAAGCACCGGCUAACUCCGUGCCAGCAGCCGCGGUAAUACGGAGGGUGCAAGCGUUGUUCGGAUUUACUGGGCGUAAAGGGCACGUAGGCGGCACAGCAAGUUAAGGGUGAAAUCCCGGGGCUCAACUCCGGAACUGCUCUUAAAACUGCUGAGCUAGAGAUAGUCAGAGGCGGGUGGAAUUCCAGGUGUAGAGGUGAAAUUCGUAGAUAUCUGGAGGAACACCGGUGGCGAAGGCGGCCCGCUGGGGCUAUUCUGACGCUAAGGUGCGAAAGCGUGGGGAGCAAACGGGAUUAGAUACCCUUGUAGUC
rnacentral:rRNA from 1 species